GCUCAACCGUGGAGGGUCAUUGGAAACUGGGAGGCUUGAGUGCAGAAGAGGAGAGCGGAAUUUCACGUGUAGCGGUGAAAUGCGUAGAGAUGUGGAGGAACACCAGUGGCGAAGGCGGCUCUCUGGUCUGUAACUGACGCUGAGGCGCGAAAGCGUGGGGAGCGAACAGGAUUAGAUACCCUGGUAGUCCACGCCGUAAACGAUGAGUGCUAAGUGUUAGGGGGUUUCCGACCCUUAGUGCUGCAGCAAACGCAUUAAGCACUCCGCCUGGGGAGUACGGCCGCAAGGCUGAAACUCAAAGGAAUUGACGGGGGCCCGCACAAGCGGUGGAGCAUGUGGUUUAAUUCGAAGCAACGCGAAGAACCUUACCAGGUCUUGACAUCCCGCUGGCCGGCGCAGAGAUGUGCCUUUCCCUUCGGGGACAGCGGUGACAGGUGGUGCAUGGUUGUCGUCAGCUCGUGUCGUGAGAUGUUGGGUUAAGUCCCGCAACGAGCGCAACCCUUGAUCUUAGUUGCCAGCAUUAAGUUGGGCACUCUAAGGUGACUGCCGGUGACAAACCGGAGGAAGAUGGGGAUGACGUCAAAUCAUCAUGCCCCUUAUGACCUGGGCUACACACGUGCUACAAUGGAUGGUACAGAG
rnacentral:rRNA from 1 species